rnacentral:rRNA from 1 species
CAGUAGCCACGGUAAUACGGAGGGUGCAAGCGUUAAUCGGAAUUACUGGGCGUAAAGCGUGCGUAGGCGGUUCGUUAAGUCUGUUGUGAAAGCCCCGGGCUCAACCUGGGAAUUGCAAUGGAUACUGGCGAGCUAGAGUGUGUCAGAGGAUGGUGGAAUUCCCGGUGUAGCGGUGAAAUGCGUAGAGAUCGGGAGGAACAUCAGUGGCGAAGGCGGCCAUCCGGGACAACACUGACGCUGAGGCACGAAAGCGUGGGGAGCAAACAGGAUUAGAUACCCGCGUAGUCCCUGUCUCUUAUAC